GUUACUAAACAGAUGAGGUAAUUGCUGAGGUAAUGCUAAGCUGCUAAUAAGCUUAAGGGGACUUUUAUAGGACAUGGAGGCUUUGUGCAGAGACAAUGACCCAACCCACCUCCAGGCUGUGUAAGGGCUAUUUGAUCAAGGAAAGUGAUGGAGUGCUGCAUCAGAGGACCUGUCCUCCAAUAUCACCCAAACUCUAACCAAUUGAGAUGGUUUGGGAUGAGUUGGACCGCAGAAUGAAGGAAAAACAUUCAACAAGUGCUCAGCAUGUGAGAACCCCUUCAACUGUUGGAAAAGCAUUCCAGGUGAAGCAGGUUGAGAGAAUGCCAAGAGUGUGCAAAGCUGUCAUCAAGGCAAAAGGGUGGCUACUUUGAAGAAUCUCAAAUAUAUUUUGAUUAACACUUUUUGGGUUACUACAUGAUACCAUGUGUUAUUUCAUAGUUUGGGUCUUCACUAUUAUUCUACAAUGUAGAAAAUAGUCAAAUGAUAAAACCCUUGAGUAGGUGUGUCCAAACUUUUGACUGGUAAUAUGUGUGUAUGUAUAAAUAAAAAACACUCCAGGAA